rnacentral:lncRNA from 1 species
AGCAGAGCGGCUGGGGCCGCUGACGUCACGUCGGAGAGGAAAUGUGAUCCUGGGGUGAAAGGGCGCAGGCGGCUUGACGGCUUCCGUAACGGGUCUGAGGUGGGAAUAAGAAGACGUCCCGGGAAUGAUUGGACGAAAUUGUGCAUCAUGUAUACGAGACAACGGCGGAAAAGCACGCGGUCACCUGUCGCCAGUCGCCUCCAAGUCUGUGUGAGCUUCGAGAAAACGUGGCUCCAGCCGACCGGAUGCUCUUGAAGUUGCAAAGACAGCUUGGGGGCCACAGAUCAAGCCCCGCCCGCGUUUCGGCUCUUUCCAGGAGGUGUUCUUGAACAGCGCUUCGCUCUGAACACCGAGAGCCACCUUAGCAACAGGGAUGUGAAAGAGUGCUAGAGAGAUGGCUCAUUGGUUAGGAGCAUUUUCUGCUCUUCCAGAGGACCCAGGCUCAGUUCCCAGGACCCACAUGGUGGUUCACAACAGUCUAUAACUUCAGAUCUAACACCUACUUCAGCCUCCUUGGGCACCAGCAAUGAAGAAAUCUCAGGCACCUGGUAGCUCCCCCUGUGGUGUUCUGCAUUCUUUUGAAACGAAGUGAAAGUGAGAAGCUUGGAGGAGGCCAAGUGGGAAACUGCUGCUGUUACCCCGUGAGAAAAGGCAAGGAGAAUAAACUGAAGAAUGAAGUUGGAGAAGGUUCAUGUUAAACAGCUCCAACAUAACUGUUCCCCGGAACCAAUAAAUAAAUAACAAUAAUUGUUCAUUAAGCUAAGUCAAUUGUGGCUGCAGAGAACAGAUUUUGUAAAGGCAGG